rnacentral:rRNA from 1 species
GGAUGACGUCAAAUCAUCAUGCCCCUUAUGACCUGGGCUACACACGUGCUACAAUGGAUGGUACAAAGGGCAGCGAAGCCGCGAGGUGAAGCCAAUCCCAUAAAGCCAUUCUCAGUUCGGAUUGCAGGCUGCAACUCGCCUGCAUGAAGCCGGAAUUGCUAGUAAUCGCGGAUCAGCAUGCCGCGGUGAAUACGUUCCCGGGUCUUGUACACACCGCCCGUCACACCACGAGAGUUUGUAACACCCGAAGUCGGUGAGGCAACCUUUUGGAGCCAGCCGCCUAAGGUGGGACAAAUGAUUGGGGUGAAGUCGUAACAAGGUAGCCGUAUCGGAAGGUGCGGCUGGAUCACCUCCUUU